rnacentral:rRNA from 1 species
UGGGGAAUAUUGCACAAUGGGCGCAAGCCUGAUGCAGCCAUGCCGCGUGUAUGAAGAAGGCCUUCGGGUUGUAAAGUACUUUCAGCGGGGAGGAAGGCGAUAAGGUUAAUAACCUUGUCGAUUGACGUUACCCGCAGAAGAAGCACCGGCUAACUCCGUGCCUGCAGCCGCGGUAAUACGGAGGGUGCAAGCGUUAAUCGGAAGUACUGGGCGUAAAGCGCACGCAGGCGGUCUGUCAAGUCGGAUGUGAAAUCCCCGGGCUCAACCUGGGAACUGCAUUCGAAACUGGCAGGCUGGAGUCUUGUAGAGGGGGGUGGAAUUCCAGGUGUAGCGGUGACAUGCGUAGAGAUCUGGAGGAAUACCGGUGGCGAAGGCGGCCCCCUGGACUAAGACUGACGCUCAGGUGCGAAAGCGUGGGGAGAAAACA